rnacentral:rRNA from 1 species
GACGAACGCUGGCGGCGUGCUUAACACAUGCAAGUCGAACGGAGAGGCCCUGCUUUUGUGGGGUGCUCGAGUGGCGAACGGGUGAGUAACACGUGAGUAACCUGCCCUUGACUUUGGGAUAACUUCAGGAAACUGGGGCUAAUACCGGAUAGGAGCUCCUGCUGCAUGGUGGGGGUUGGAAAGUUUCGGCGGUUGGGGAUGGACUCGCGGCUUAUCAGCUGGUUGGUGGGGUAGUGGCUUACCAAGGCUUUGACGGGUAGCCGGCCUGAGAGGGUGACCGGCCACAUUGGGACUGAGAUACGGCCCAGACUCCUACGGGAGGCAGCAGUGGGGAAUCUUGCACAAUGGGCCGAAGCCUGAUGCAGCAAUGCCGCGUGCGGGAUGACGGCCUUCGGGUUGUAAACAGCUUUCGCCUGUGACGAAGCGUGAGUGACGGUAAUGGGUAAAGAAGCACCGGCUAACUACGUG